CAAAAAUGCGAUAGUCUUUCAUAGCGAAAGUCGAGCCAAAGAAGCUUCCCCUCUAUUCUGAUGAGUUUUCCUGUUUUGAGAGGUUCUUGCAGCGGCAUUUCCACUUGAGCUCGAACUGAUCUGGAUGAAGUCCCUUCCCUUGAAUCAAACCUGACUUCCAACACCCGACCCAAGUGUUGCACCGCCUUGCUAAUCAUCGCUUCAGUACUCUAUUCCAAAGGUGGAAGUACAUCAUCCCAGUCAUCGAUUUGCUGCUCCGUAGUAAGGCGGCCUAACCUAUUACACAAAGCCGACAGUCGCGAUGAAUCAGCAUGACUUGCCGAUGCCAUGAGAAAGUCCACAGCGGAAGAUAGACAGGGAAAAGGGCAGACAGUUGCGAUACCAGAUGGACAGCCUUGAACUCAACACAAUCCAGAAUAAUCUCCUAUCAAUUAUAAGAUGACUAACCUCGCGGACAUGCAGCCAUCAAUUGAAGACCUAGUAGGCAGGCGGCAGUAGACCCAUGGGAAAUUGACAGCCUGAAGAACAUCUGCCGGUUGUACUGAGUGAAGCACAGCUGAAAUCACUACCUACUUACUUACUGAAUUGUAGAAUCGAAAACUUUGCCGAGAAUGCCCAUCAUCGAGAGCGAUUACUAUUACCUCAGUAAUCGAUGAAAGGAAGCGAGAUAAAACAGCGAAAAGAAGGGAGGGUGGGGUCCGACGAAGAUAAGAAAGGAACAGAAAGGAGAAAAAAGGUGAUUAGGGUUUGGAAGCAACCAUUGUGGUAGAAAGUCAGCUCUACAUUUAGAGAGAAAAGUGGU